UACGGAAGGCAGCAGUGGGGAAUAUUGCACAAUGGGCGCAAGCCUGAUGCAGCCAUGCCGCGUGUAUGAAGAAGGCCUUCGGGUUGUAAAGUACUUUCAGUCGUGAGGAAGGUGUUAAGGUUAAUAACCUUAGCAAUUGACGUUAGCGACAGAAGAAGCACCGGCUAACUCCGUGCCAGCAGCCGCGGUAAUACGGAGGGUGCGAGCGUUAAUCGGAAUUACUGGGCGUAAAGGGCACGCAGGCGGUUAAUUAAGUUGGAUGUGAAAUCCCCGGGCUUAACCUGGGAAUGGCAUUCAAGACUGGUUAGCUAGAGUCUUGUAGAGGGGGUAGAAUUCCGAUGUGUAGCGGUGAAAUGCGUAGAGAUGUGGAGGAAUACCGGUGGCGAAGGCGGCCCCUGGACAAAGACUGGACGCUCAUGGUGCGAAAGCGGUGGGGAGCAAAACAGGGAUUAGAUACC
rnacentral:rRNA from 1 species